AUGUCACAGAUGGCUGCCAACGCUCACUCUUCACCUCUUCACCCAACCAUAGCCAAAGCAGGAAGAGAGGAAAGGGAGCAACCGGCCGCUCCUCAUUUGCCUUUCUUAUCUGAAAGGAAACACUUUCCCAGAAGUCUCCAGCACUGUAUGUUCUUAGCCAGAAAUGGGUCACAGGACCACCCUGGACCAAUCCCAGGCCCAGGAAGAUGGGCUUGCUAUAGUGGACUUAAAUCAAUCGCACUUUCUUCCCUAGAGCCGGGCCCAUGGCCAGCUGGAGAAGUUAGCAUCAGUCAGCUGGCGGGAAGGAAGGGCAGCUGGCAGGCCUGUCCCCAGCGCCACCGACUCCAGCUUUCCAAAGUCCCAGGAGAAGCAAUGUCCAGGUGACUUCUGGCCUCUGCUGCAGAGCAGAGAAGUGGUCAGCCUCCUGGGGCAACAGCCAUGAAGAUCCUUUGCAAGCACUGUGAGCAAGUGGGCAGCCUUGUGCCCACUGGAGCAGCAAGUGCAGAUUGUAAAAGUCAACCUUGAUUUUAGAAUCAAAGAGUUUCACACAGGGAUGGGGCUCUGCCUCCCUGGAAACUGCCCACGUGCAUGUGUGUUCACAAAUAAACUAAAAUGUUUUCUCUUCUGCUGCUCCUGUUCCCAGAGGCUGGUCUCCCCCCAUUCUCUCCCUCCUUUUCCCAUUCUCUUUCCCUUAAUAACCCCACCACGCCAUGUGAGCUCUGUCAUGGCAUCUUUCUCUCUUUUUAAAUUACAACAGUCACCUCUCAGAUUAAAGCCUUCCAUCCUGGAAGGGAGUCCUUAAGCAGGGUGGUAACAAAAAGGUUGCUUCAAGGAGUCCCUGAAACUUGGCCUCGUGGCAAUAGUAGAGCACACCUUUAAUCCCAGCACUCAGGAGGUAGAGGCAGGUAGAUCUCUGUGAGUUCGAGGCCAGCCUGGUCUAUAGAGCAAGUUCAGGACAGCCUCCAAUGCCACAGAGAAACUCUGUCUGGAAAAAAACAAAAUGAAACAAAAAAACAGAAAACCUCCCUGAAACUCAACAGAUUCACUAGUUUCCUCCCAGCUGGAGUAGACAAAGAAGACUGUCAGACCAUCCGAGCUGCUAGAAGAGCUUUAGACCAACUGGGGCACUCGGAAAGGACACUCUCCAACCUGUGGCGCUGCCUGCAGGCUGUGCAGUGUGCUCCAGGCUCCCAGCUUUGUGAGCUGUCACCCAUGCUGGGGCGGGCUUUGGUGAUGCAGCUGUCUUUGAGUCAUUUCUGCUCCUGUGAGUAACCCCUCACCCAUAUUCCUGUAAGUAGCCCCAAUAAAGCCCAUUGGCUCACCAGGUUAGAUUUUGGGGAUAUCCAUACUUUGGCCUAUCUUGGGUUCCCUCUGUGUAUGUUACAUCUCCCUAGGAAAGGUUUGCUCACACAACAGGUCUCCACUGCAGCUGGGCUGCACCUUCAUCAACAGCCUAUCUUGGGCUGUCCUCAGGGACUGUAUCCUACCACUUGGUAUCCGGCCUCAGCAUCUUCCCAUGAUCCCUUCAAUCACAGGGAUUCCACUUUUAGAAUCUAUGCCUUUACCAGGGGCCUCUGCAAGCCUCUCUUGAGGGACCCCUGCUCUGCCACACAGUGUUGCACCUAAUGACUCUAAAACUAGUGCAACCAGAAAAAUUCUUACACAUUACCAAGAGUCAGCAUGAGGUACAACCUGGGCCCAUCUGAACCACAGCUUUUGUGUGCUGGCCCUAAGGAAACACUUCCCAGAAGAUUUUGCCUUAAAGAUGCCCGUCUCUUAAGUGUGGCUAAUCUCUCAGCUCCAUCGGACCAGCAUCAUUUGUCCCAGCAAAGUAAAGCUUUUGCUUUAACGGUCUCUUGUUCAUCACAGCUGAUUCUUCAGCCCCAGCUGAUCAAAAACACAGAUUCACAAUUCAAAAUCACAUAAAUGGCCCUGAAGUUCCCUAUGAAACUCCACAAGCCCGGCCUCCAUUAUCUCAAGACUCUUCUCUUCCAAGCUGCCACAAAACAGCCUACUGAGCUCUGAGCACUCAACAGCUUUUCCAGCCUAGAGUUCAGAUACCACCAUGAUCCUUCCCGAAAUACAGUCAGAUCUGUCAUAGUAAAACCCAACUCCUGGUCCAAUCGUCUUAGUUAGGGUUUCUAUUGCUAUGAUGAAACAAUAUAACCUGCAGUAGAAUAUUAGUUUAAGAUGUGUUACAUUGUUUAUGCUGUGGAAUGUUUGUUUAAUGAUGCAAAGAUGUGUUAAAUUCUUUAAUGUUGCAUUUGUUUAACUCUGUAAAAUUUUGUUGCUUUGCCUGCCUAAAACACCUGAUUGGUUUAAUAAAGAGCUUCCACCA
rnacentral:lncRNA from 1 species